rnacentral:rRNA from 1 species
GACGAACGCUGGCGGCGUGCUUAACACAUGCAAGUCGAGCGGUAAGGCCCUUUCGGGGGUACACGAGCGGCGAACGGGUGAGUAACACGUGGGUGACCUGCCCUCAGCUCUGGGAUAAGCCUGGGAAACCGGGUCUAAUACUGGAUAUGACUCCAUGACGCAUGUUGUGGGGUGAAAGCCUUGUGCGGCUGAGGAUGGGCCCGCGGCCUAUCAGCUUGUUGGUGGGGUGAGGCCUACCAAGG